GUUCAGUGUUUGGCAAAAACAAAGAGUGGUUUCUGCAAAGGAAGAACACUGCUGUUGCGGAUUUUUGUUUCAAACACUCCCUGCAAACCAUUAUCCCCCAAGGCAAAUUCACAGAAGCAAAUGGAGCAAGUGCCCUCUAUGGGGAUAGAGUCCGGGGCUGCUAGGGAGGCUGUGGGGGAGACACACAUGCACAAGGCUGGAUCCUCAGUUUUUUGGAAUAGUCCCCACUCUCAGUUAUCUGUGGGAGUAAGAAGGUCCAGGGAGAGGGAUGAGGGAGAGCAAACCACACCAGUCUCCAAAGAAACAUCACACCCAGUUCCACCAAUUCAAGUUUCCUCUAAAGCAAAUUUUGACCAUAAUUGUUCCCUGUUCUCUAAAUUAAUACUGUAGAUUUUAGGAGAGACAUCCAAGGAAGAAAAAGCCCAAGGACCCAGGCCUGAAACUGCUUUUGACAUAAAUGUUGGCUACAAAAUUCCAGGAGUAAUCCCAGCACUUGGAAGGCGGAGACAGGAGGCCCACUGAAAUUUGCACUCCAGGCUGGAAUUCUAGGCCCUCCAGGUUUGGGGGAAUGGGGCUGAGCUAACAUCCAACCUAAGGACAAGACCAUCCCAGCUGAUAUCAAAGCAGUUUGGAAAGCAUGUGAGAAAACUCCAG
ensembl:lncRNA